rnacentral:rRNA from 1 species
UACGUAGGGUGCAAGCGUUAAUCGGAAUUACUGGGCGUAAAGCGUGCGCAGGCGGCUUUGCAAGACAGAUGUGAAAUCCCCGGGCUCAACCUGGGAACUGCAUUUGUGACUGCAUGGCUGGAGUGCGGCAGAGGGGGAUGGAAUUCCGCGUGUAGCAGUGAAAUGCGUAGAUAUGCGGAGGAACACCGAUGGCGAAGGCAGCCCCCUGGGCUGAGAUUGACGCUCAGGCACGAAAGCGUGGGGAGCAAACAGG